rnacentral:rRNA from 1 species
AUUGAACGCUGGCGGCAGGCCUAACACAUGCAAGUCGAACGGUAGCACAGAGAGCUUGCUCUCGGGUGACGAGUGGCGGACGGGUGAGUAACGUCUGGGAAACUGCCCGAUGGAGGGGGAUAACUACUGGAAACGGUAGCUAAUACCGCAUAACGUCGCAAGACCAAAGUGGGGGACCUUCGGGCCUCACACCAUCGGAUGUGCCCAGAUGGGAUUAGCUAGUAGGUGGGGUAAUGGCUAACCUAGGCGACGAUCCCUAGCUGGUCUGAGAGGAUGACCAGCCACACUGAAACUGAGUCAAGGUCCAGACUCCUACGGGAGGCAGCAGUGGGGAAUAUUGCACAAUGGGCGCAAGCCUGAUGCAGCCAUGCCGCGUGUAUGAAGAAGGCCUUCGGGUUGUAAAGUACUUUCAGCGGGGAGGAAGGCGGUGAAGUUAAUAACUUCACCGAUUGACGUUACCCGCAGAAGAAGCACCGGCUAACUCCGUGCCAGCCGCCGCCGUAA